UCGUCUUCAACGGCGGCUAGCUGUGGUGAGCGCCGAUGCUGUCGGACUCGGAGAAGCUCGCAGGAACUCGACUGCUACAGCAGCAGGAACGUGGCGCGACGUCGUGGCCGCGCGGCGAGCCGGCGCCGGGGCCUGCAGGUCCCUCGGUGGCUUGCAACGGGUUGUGUUGGGAUGCCCGCCGACUUGCGGCCGCUAACACAAACCCACGCGUCCCCAUUACUGAAUGGAGUGUGAUCUGGGAGGAUGGAUGCAUCAUUGUACCGAUCGGCGCAACACAAGGACCCUUGCGAGUGCAUGAGCUCAGUUCAGGAAAGAGCCGGAGGGUGGUGGAGGCCGUUCGGUGGGCCAGGAUGUCGCGGCGGAGGAGCCCGACAACGGCAGCAGGGAGGUUUUCUUCAGCAGCAGCUCACCCUGACCCUAGCAUCACAUCCGUCUUUUAUCUAUGAAUGCACGAUGACGCAUAUCAUGAUAGAAAUAAUAGUUUAAAAUUUUAUAUUAGUGCACUUUAAUAUUUAGUUAUAGUUAUAUAAUUUAGAUUUUUAUUUAGAGGUUACUUUAACUUUUGAUAAUGAUAUAAUUGGAUAAUUAUAUGCAAUUUUAGGGGUUAUUUGUA